rnacentral:lncRNA from 1 species
CUGGAAUCAGACUGGAGUUUAAACCCAGGCUCUGCCUGGUCCCCACUUAGGAACACCUCAAUGCCUCAGUUUUCCCCUUUGGAAAGAGACGGAAUUCACUUCCGGACACUAACAGGGAUUGUUUUAAGACCCAGCUGCUUCCUAGAAUGACUGCCAUUUAGUCAGUCCUGGCUGUGCACCAAGCUCUCCACGUUGCUGCUCCCUGCAGUGCUCAUCUGCAAUCUGGAGCAAAAACCUAGGAAGGCCGUGUGCAGU